UAGUUUCUCUUUUUCUUGAUUGUGUUUUUAGUACCUAUUUUCGUGACCAUAUAGAGUUCUAUCCGUUCUCUCCUUGUUUGUUACAAUGCUAUGAACCACUUUGUCGUAGAAUUGCCUCACAGAAUGUGCAUAAAGUACAUAAGAAGAAUUUAAUAACAAAUCUAGAGUUCUUUCCCAUGAAAAAUGUGCCAUCUAAUAUCCGUUCAGAUAAGAUGUUUAAGUAGAUAUUUAUUUUACUUCAUUUUGAAGUAUUGUGCCUUCACCGGUUGGUAAUGAAGUUAGAAAGAAAAUUAUG
rnacentral:lncRNA from 1 species